UACGUAGGGGGCAAGCGUUGUCCGGAAUCAUUGGGCGUAAAGAGCGUGUAGGCGGCUCGAUAAGUCCGCUGUGAAAGUCCAGGGCUCAACCCUGGAAGGCCGGUGGAAACUGUCGGGCUAGAGUCCGGAAGAGGCGAGUGGAAUUUCCGGUGGAGCGGUGAAAUGCGUAGAGAUCGGAAAGAACACCAACGGCGAAAGCACUCUGCUGGGCCGACACUGACACUGAGAGACGAAAGCUAGGGGAGCGAAUGGG
rnacentral:rRNA from 1 species